AUGAGUCGACAGGGGGACAAAAAGUGGACGCGCGUCUGUUUGAAUCGGCGCGUUGGGCCGACUUUUCUGUCCGCGCCGACACAAAAGGACGGAGUGGACGAAAUGGAUCGACGUGUUGGAGUUGCUGUAAAGAGGCAAAUAAAAGGAUGGGGUUCAUCUAAAAAAGGAUGGGGCGCAACAACAUUCUUGAAGUUGAGCAUGUCCCUGAUAUUUUUUGUAUUAGAAGUGUCAGCCAAGGCCUCAGCCUUGUGUGAAGGUCUGAAGCUGCCAAGCUGGCUAACCGGAUGGGGUGAAACAACAUUUUGUACACAUGGAUAA
rnacentral:rRNA from 1 species